GUCAAACGUGGGGCAAAAGAAUAAACUAACAAUUUCCGUGGAAGAAAAGAGCUUUCUCAGGGUGCUGAAGAUGAUAGAUGAAUGGAACAGAUAAGUUAGCCAAUUCAACAUACUAAGCUUAUUUGAUGUGAUUUCGUUUUGUACACAAACCUGAGACUUUUUCUGUCGUAUGUUAUUCUGUAUUUGCAAAGUCGUCGUUACUCGGGGAGAUGACCCUUAGAGCAUGUGCAUUUUCAUGGUCAUGCAAAUUCUGGAUUGAGUGCUAAUGCCUCUCUGUAAAUCAUCUCCUUCAUCUGUUCUUCAUCUAAGAAUUGUUGCUCAAACUCGAACGAGAAUGGCUCUGGG
rnacentral:misc_RNA from 1 species